GAUGAACGCUAGCGAUAGGCUUAACACAUGCAAGUCGAGGGGUAACGUGUUGGAAGCUUGCUUCCGAUGACGACGACCGGCGGAUGGGUGCGUAACGCGUAUGCAACUUGCCUCACAGUGGAGAAUAACCCGGAGAAAUCCGGACUAAUACUCCAUACACUCUUAAGUACGCCUGUACAUGAGAGGAAAGAUUUAUCGCUGUGAGAUAGGUAUGCGUCCUAUUAGGUAGUUGGUGAGGUAACGGCUCACCAAGCCGACGAUAGGUAGGGGUGCUGAGAGGCAGAUCCCCCACAUUGGGACUGAGACACGGCCCAAACUCCUACGGGAGGCAGCAGUGAGGAAUAUUGGUCAAUGGAGGAAACUCUGAACCAGCCAAGUCGCGUGAAAGAAGAAUGGCCUAAGGAUUGUAAACUUCUUUAGCGAGCGAGUAAGGACUUCCACGUGAUGGGAGUUUGAAAGUAGCUCGGAAAUAAGUAUCGGCUAACUCCGUG
rnacentral:rRNA from 1 species